ensembl:lncRNA
GCUCAGGGAGCUGUGUAAAUUCGACGUGAAGUCGGUCUAGUGGCCCUGUGGUCACCACUCCACUUUGCUCUGCCUCAAUUUCAGUUGUUUGCUCCAAGGAGAGUUCUUGGAACAGUAGGUGUUAGCGUCUUCACCUUACUCCCCAGGUGUUUGCUGGCCACAGUCUCAUUUCUAACAUCUGAAUCUGGGAAAAGUUUUGAAGUGAUGUAGGGAACAAAACUGCUUUUUCCACCAUGUAGUCUGAUUUUGCCAAAUCACCCAAGAAAGUAUACGAUGUGCGGAGUGUGCGUUUCUUGGAUGGGACCUAUCUGGUCACCCAGCUCAAUCCCACAGUCAUAAAUUCCUACCUCUAAGUUCCUGCCAAAGGCUCUCCAGCCUCUGUGUGCACUCGUUGAAUGAAUGCCUUGCCUAAAGUUUGGCCUUUUAAGGAGAAAUGGCAUGUGAUGGUAUAAACAUAUGAGGGUUUAAAAAAAUGAUCUCUGCCUCUCCUUCUCUCCUUCUCUCUUUUCCCCCCCCUUUCUGUCUUUCUCCUUCUCUUCUGCUUCCCCAUGCGCUAAAUUCAAUUUUUUCUCGGUUGUUACAAGCAUAUUGCUUUGAAUGUGGACCUUGGGUGAGGGAGAGGAUCAUUCUAAAAAUAGAGAAUGGAAGAUACUUCUGAGUUGAUAGGGCCAACAGGACUUUGCUCCACUGUAGAGGCUGAAGCCAACGGUAUUUGUUGAGACUGUCGAGGGCUUUAGCAUCUCAUUGCAGACAUAUGAAGUAUUCAUUGCUAAACCAUAUUAGUAUCUACUAGUCCAAUUCUGUUGAAAGUCAAAGGCAGUCUAGGAUUUGGUGAGUGAAAUGCCAUCUGGCAAAGUGGGGUGGCGAGGGUGGCCUGAGAUGGUCUUAUCAGGGUGGGAACGUUCAGCCUCAUUUUCAUUUGAGUGUACCUCAAAGCAUAUGGUCCUUCACGAGUGCUCCUUUUCGCUCCUCCAUUUCACUUUAUCCUUUCUUCUCUCUCCUUUCUCUCCCAUUGUCCUGCCUUUUUAGUACUCAGCUUUUUUUAUAAGUAUUUACUAUUUUAUUAUAUAUUUCGUCCUUUGGGACUGUGUAAUGACUAAGAAUUAAUUUCAUUCUAGAUAGAAAAUGAUGUGUUUUUAAUAUUUUGUUCUCUUAAACUGUCUUUUGAAGCUAUGCUGCUAACCAGGUACAGGCCAGAAGGGAGUUGGGCCUGACAGACAACACCCUAGUCUUGUCACCUAAGGAUGACACUUAUGUCAUCAUGGUCACUCUUCUUCAUUUGACCAAGGCCAGCCUCCUGCUCUUACCUCUGUCCAUUCAUUUCUGGCUAUGGGAAAAAUACCACCUGUUGGGUGAGCCGAUGAGGCCAGGAGGAUCAGAGGGGCCAGGUCCCGCUCAUGGGCCACUGUACAGCCUGUACCAAAGCUGUGGCUCACUGCUCAUUUCAUUCUGCUCCCUGGUCAUGCAUAGCAACAUAGUCUAAAAAGGAAGACAUGGGCUGGGGAGUUAGGAGACCUGGUUUCUAUUUCCUAUGCUUCUACUAACUAGCCUCGAGAUCUUAACCGCUCUGUGCCUCAGUGUUCCCAUCUGCAAAAUGGGGAUAGUGUUAAUUGCCCUACCUACCUCACAGGGUUGUUGUGAGGAUAAACUGAGAGAAUGAAUGGAAAGUACUUUGACAAGUAAGUGCUAUGCAAAUUGUAAGAAAUGGAAACAAUCAUGUUAAAGGCAAUGGAAUGGAC